rnacentral:rRNA from 1 species
GACGAACGCUGGCGGCGUGCUUAACACAUGCAAGUCGAGCGGUCAGGCCCUUUCGGGGGUACACGAGCGGCGAACGGGUGAGUAACACGUGGGUGACCUGCCCUCAGCUCUGGGAUAAGCCUGGGAAACCGGGUCUAAUACCGGAUAUGACUCCAUGACGCAUGUUGUGGGGUGGAAAGCCUUGUGCGGCUGAGGAUGGGCCCGCGGCCUAUCAGCUUGUUGGUGGGGUGANGGCCUACCAAGGCGACGACGGGUAGCCGGCCUGAGAGGGCGACCGGCCACACUGGGACUGAGACACGGCCCAGACUCCUACGGGAGGCAGCAGUGGGGAAUCUUGCGCAAUGGGCGAAAGCCUGACGCAGCGACGCCGCGUGAGGGAUGACGG